UUCUCCGUGAGUUUAUGCCCCUCUGUGAUAGUCCCAAAUAGAUUUCUGGUGGAUAUUUUAAAACUCUGAGGGGCAGGUCAGUGAGUAGCCAGAAACUGAAGAAUAAAAGUCAUUCCUUUUAGGUUUCAUCAUCUCUGGGUUACUUGAAGUACAACAAUCGGUCACAAUUAUCACAAUAUAUUAUUAAAUCUAAAAUUGAAAUGGCCACGCUGGGUGAAGCACCUUCUCUCGCCACCCAAAUUAACAUCUUGGUGCUGCAUCGGACUAAGCCGAAAAUUGCCUCUGUGUGCUUGCAAACCAUGCUGCCUCCACGUCCAUGGACUCUUUCAAAAAAUACCGCUCUAUAACAUCACCCAGGAGACAGAGAUGACAGAGGAGAGGAAACUGUAUGCCAGAACCUGAAGACAGACCGAACCAGACUUAAUUUCCCUUUUCUCUUCCAAAUUAGAGAUUGCUUCUGUUUGGUUCCCUUCUAGUGUCCUCAUUUAUCCUUUAUCCCAAAUUUCAGGACAGAAUCAGUGGAGGAAAAUACAGAUGCUCUUGUAUGUCAAAGGCCCAGGGAUGGCAUUUUAAUGGGUAAUGAAACAGGAAGGGAUGAGGGCUCAGCUGCAACUUGACUCCGGAAGAGUUUGAAGCAUCUUUGCCACCCACACCGGGCAUUUAAUACAUACUUGUGAUG
rnacentral:lncRNA from 1 species